GAGGAGACGGCCGAACCAGUAUCAGAAGGCCUUUCCACCAGGGCGGAAGCCGAAGAAGAUGCGGAGCGAGCUACCGAAGAUCAGGCGGCCCCGACUGCUGAAGCCAGAGCGAGUUCGCCGACCGUCCCCCGUCGUUAUCCAGUGGAGGAGGCCGACUCCGAGGACUAGUCGGUUUUCUAUUUUUGUUUUUCUUUUUGCUCC
rnacentral:lncRNA from 1 species